rnacentral:pre_miRNA from 2 species
UCUUAUGGAUUAACAGAGAAAAGAAAGUGGUUUCUUGAGAUGGAAUCUACUCCUGGUGAAGAUUCUGUGAA